UCUGCAUGAGCCCUAGCCGAACAUAAUCUUCCACACAUCCUUCACUAUUAAGUUCACUCCUUAUUAACACCAUCAACCCAACUAACCUACAACCCACCACCUAUUGUCUAUCCUACACCCACCUCGUUUAACCUCCACCACCAUAGCCGACGGCCGGCAACCACACACCUCCGAUUGAACAUAAAAUUUCCAAAGUUUCUUCUAAUUUUCAGUCUCAAGUCGUGAGCCAGGAUGUCCGACGAGAGUUCAAGUCGAGCUGCGGGGAAGAAAAGAAAGCGAAUACAAGAUCCGGUCAGUUUGGGUUAUUAGCUUGGAGUUGCGAUUGAUGGAUCUGUGACGUUUUGGAAGGCUUGGAACUAGACGGAUGCAGAUCAAAAGGAAAAUCAGGGGAGUCUGUUCCAUUUUGCUUCUCUUUUAUUUCUUUUGUUUGUAUUUUUUUUUCGGUUUGAGUCGAUAGUUGUGUCUUAAAUAGUUUCUCGCUCCAUUAAGGACAAUGAAGGAAAUAAGUGUGGGGAAUGGAGACUAACAUCUAUUUAGUUGUGUCUUAGUAUUA